rnacentral:tRNA from 1 species
UUCGUUGUAGUCUAGUUGUUUAGGAUACUCGGCUCUCACCCGAGAGACCCAGGUUUAAUUCCUGGUAAUGAAA